rnacentral:rRNA from 1 species
GGGAGAAGCCCAGCACUGAAUCGCGUGUCCACUGGGCACUGCGAAAUGUAGUGUUUGGGAGGGUCCGCUAUUCCGCGGUUUGGUGAUGAGUCCAAGUCCUUCUUGAACGGGGCCAUUAACCCAUAGAGGGUGCCAGGCCCGUAGUGACCAUUGCCGGCUGCGGAAGGAUUUCUCCUUAGAGUCGGGUUGCUUGAGAGUGCAGCCCUAAGUAGGUGGUAAACUCCAUCUAAGGCUAAAUAUAACCACGAGACCGAUAGCGAACAAGUACCGUGAGGGAAAGUUGAAAAGAACUUUGAAGAGAGAGUUCAAUAGUACGUGAAACCGUUUAGGGGUAAACCUGAGAAACCCGAAAGUUCGAACAAAGAGAUUCAGCGCGUCUCGGCAGACACGAGUUGCUCUUGGAUGACAAGGAUCGUUCGCGAUUGUUGCUCUUUGCGUAACCGCAGUUUGUCGAACGCGUGCACUUCUCUUUUAGUAGGACGUCGCGACCCGUUGGGUGUCGGUCUGAGGCUUGCGGUGGAGCCUGUUCGUCGGUUUCGGCCGUGCGUUCAGACCCGUGAUGUCCCGGCCGGCUGCUUGACGGUAGAACUAAGGCGCAGAGCCGCGACUAGCUCGCGUUCGGCUCAAUGCAAGCGCAAUCGGUUACUCGUUCGUCGGACUUGUCCGAUCUCGAGGCCGGUUGGCUGUUGGCGUUGAUGCUCCCGGACAGACUCUGUUCACGCCUGUCAGCGGCGCUAUAGCUUUGGGUACUUUCAGGACCCGUCUUGAAACACGGACCAAGGAGUCUAGCAUGUGCGCGAGUCACUGGGACAAAUAAAUCCUAAAGGCGUAAUGAAAGUGAAUGUGAGCCUAGCUCAACAUAGGGAAGAUGGGUGACAAAUGUCGCCUCGCACUCCCGGGGCGUCUCGUUCUCAUUGCGAGAUGAGGCGCACCUAGAGCGUACACGCUGGGACCCGAAAGA